AAUGCAAAAACUUCUGGUGGCAGCUAUUACCGCUAGCAGAAAAGUGAAUAUUUGCUUACAUUUAGGAUGUUGUUCUUUCAGCACUGAAUGUUUGUUGAAUUAACAUCAAAGAGCCAAUUAUGUGUACAUCGAUGAUCAUUAACCUUAAUUAAUCGUUCUUAUUUUUACUAUGCCAUACAAUAGUAAUCAUGACCACGAAAACGUUUAUGUUUAAUCAAACAUUAUGAUGACAACCACAAAUUGGUAACCAUUCGAAUAGUGGUGAUUACCAUGAUACGUAGUUGACUACAGUGCUUUGAAAGACUCAAUUUUUGAUGUAGGCUUGUAAAACAUCUAGCACGAAGCAUCUACUUCAAUGCAAUUCAAGUUGAUUCUACUACGAAUUUCCUCGAAACUGCGUCGGACCUCAAACUAAAAAAACAUGUCGGAAUUCAACCCACCACGGACGACUCAAUGUGGAUGAUAGUUCCGUGAUGGCCGCGGAUGGUUCCAGCGAAAUGAUUCACAACAACAAACAGGUCGAGUGCAACGAAGAGGGGAUCCGCGACCUAAAUGGGUUUCCAGACAUUUCGGUGGCACUGUAGAAGAUAAUGGCUAACCCGAGCUGCAGGAACAUCGAUGCAUACACCGACGAGAUCGAAAUAAAUUCCCUGAAUGACCAACCAAUGUCAGCAGACCUCAUCCGGCACCUUCGAAGACGCCGGCUGCUAACAAUUUCGCCGAGGGCUACUCAGCAGUGUGCCAUCCAACUUUUUUUUUUUUUUAUGUCUUUAUUUAUGUGAAUUUUAACACAU